UACGUAGGGGGCUAGCGUUAUCCGGAAUUACUGGGCGUAAAGGGUGCGUAGGUGGUUUCUUAAGUCAGAGGUGAAAGGCUACGGCUCAACCGUAGUAAGCCUUUGAAACUGAGAAACUUGAGUGCAGGAGAGGAGAGUAGAAUUCCUAGUGUAGCGGUGAAAUGCGUAGAUAUUAGGAGGAAUACCAGUUGCGAAUGCGGCUCUCCGGACUGUAACUGACACUGAGGCACGAAAGCGUGGGGAGCAAACAGGAUUAGAUACCCUGGUAGUCCCUGA
rnacentral:rRNA from 1 species